GACAGAGGGUGCAAACGUUGCUCGGAAUCACUGGGCGUAAAGGGCGUGUAGGCGGGAAGGAAAGUCAGAUGUGAAAUCCCUGGGCUCAACCCAGGAACUGCAUUUGAAACUCCCUUUCUUGAGUGUCGGAGAGGAAAGUGGAAUUCCUGGUGUAGAGGUGAAAUUCGUAGAUAUCAGGAGGAACACCGGUGGCGAAAGCGGCUUUCUGGACGACAACUGACGCUGAGACGCGAAAGCGUGGGGAGCAAACAGG
rnacentral:rRNA from 1 species